rnacentral:ncRNA from 1 species
UCGGUUUCCCAAUUCCGUUACCCUGGUGAGUAUCCGAUAGGUUCUUAAAUAUGGAGCUCGGUGUUUCUCCCUGGCAACAAGAAUAGCCCCUUAAAGAAGCCGGUCGGGAGGAUAUCGAAGGGAGUUUUCUUUUCUGUUUUAUAGCCGGUAAUUCCAUGGAAGUCUUUCGCAGAGAGAUAUGGUAGAUGGGCUAGAAGAGCAUGACAUAUACUGUUGUGUCGAUAUUUUCUCCUCGGACCUUGAAAAUUUAUGGUGGGGACACGCAAACUUCUCAACAGGCCGUACCAAUAUCCGCAGCUGGUCUCCAAGGUGAAGAGUCUCUAGUCGAUAGAAUAAUGUAGGUAAGGGAAGUCGGCAAAUUAGAUCCGUAACUUUGGAAUAAGGAUUGGCUCUGAAGAUUGAGAUAGUCGGGCUUGAUUGGGAAACAAUAACAUGGUUUAUGUGCUCCUUCUGGGUAAAUAGAGUUUCUAUCAUUUAUGGUAGUUACUUGUUCCCCGGAUAGUUUAGUUACGUAGCCAAUUGUGGAACUUUCUUGCUAAAAUUUUUAAGAAUACUAAUUGGGUUAAACCAGUUAGUUCUUAUUAAUUAUAACGAUUAUCAAUUAACAAUCAAUUCAGAACUGGCACGGACUUGGGGAAUCCGACUGUCUAAUUAAAACAAAGCAUUGUGAUGGCCCUAGCGGGUGUUGACACAAUGUGAUUUCUGCCCAGUGCUCUGAAUGUCAAAGUGAAGAAAUUCAAGUAAGCGCGGGUCAACGGCGGGAGUAACUAUGCCAUUUUGGCUUCCCGGUUGACCUCAUCAGUCGACUGGGAUCCGCGUCAGCGAGGUUUCCUUCCAACCGACGGAUGUGCCGAUAAUACGACGAUAGUCGACUU